rnacentral:rRNA from 1 species
CCUACGGGAGGCAGCAGUGAGGAAUAUUGCACAAUGGGGGAAACCCUGAUGCAGCAACGCCGCGUGAAUGAAGAAGGCUUUCUGUGUGGAAAACUCUAUCAGCAUGGAAGUAGAUUGCGGUACCUGAUUAGGAAGCCCCGGCUAACUACGGGACAGCAGCCGCGAUAAUGCGUAGGCGGCAAGGGUUAUCCGGAUUUACUGGGUGUAAAGGGAGUGCAGACGGCAGUGAAAGUCUGUAGUGAAAGCCUGCGGCCCAACCGCGGAACUGCACUGGAAACUGUCAGCCUAGAGUACUGGAGGGGUAGGCGGAAUUCGUGGUGUAGCGGUGAAAUGCGUAGAUAUUAGGAGGAACACCAGUGGCGAAGGCGGCCUGCUGGACAGUAACUGACGCUGAGGCUCGAAAGCGUGGGGAGCAAACAGGAUUAGAUACCCCUGUAGUC